AAUAAAUGAAGUUUGGUGAAUACUGAAGAGGCAGUGCCCGAGGGAUCGAGAUGUUGAUGUAUCGAGCCAUCAUCCAUCUCCAUCUCUAACUUAUAUCUAAGAACCUAAGCGGUUUUGGGCCUGAAGCAACACCACCAACAACAGCAACGGCAGCAGCAGCCGAAGCAAGUGAGACCACCAACUCCAAUGAUAACUCAAUUCACGAUGAACAUGUGGCUGUCUGUAGGUACUGCCGCUAUAUGUCUUCCAAGAAAUUCCAUUGCUGCAGGUACCUACGCUUGAACACGACUUCUUUCGACAAGCGAGUUGUUCCCACCGGCUCAAACCCCUUGCACAAUUGAUUAAGUGCGACAAGUUAAGCAAAACAUGUAUUUAGAUUAUCACAAUGCAAGUGUUUCAGAUUUUUCUUAUUAUUAGAAAAAGAUCAAUUAAUGGAGUUUCACUUGCAUGC